UGGUAAACAACAUUAAUAAUUAAAUUAUUUUUUCAGUUGGGUUUUCCCAAUAAUAAACGAGGGAAGAAAACUAGUUUUAAAGGAAGAAGAUUUAUACAAAUGUUCAAAAUAUCAUACUUCGGAGUAUCUUGGCGAUCUGCUACAGAAAGAAUGGAACCAGGAAUUGCAGAAGAAGAAUUCGAGCAUACUGAAAGCUUUAUUACGUUUCGUUGGUUGGAAAUACUUAGUAGUUAUUCUACUUGUACUCAUUCAGAUGACAGCGUUAGUUGCAGGCCAAGCAUACUUCGUAGGAUUAAUAAUAAAUUAUUUUGAGAACAGAGAGGAAAUGAAUCAAUACAAGAUCUAUGCUACACUUGCGGGAUUUUUUAUUCUACUUGCGAUAUAUUUAUGUAUAUAUAAUAUUAGUGCAUUUAUAACUGAAUUAUAUGGAAUGAAGUUAAAGAUAGCUUUCUGCACUCUUAUAUAU